AGUGAGACCAAGCUGGGUGGACAAUUUCCUGGCCAUUAGCCAGGAACAGAGGUCCUGUAGUUUGCCACCUUAAUGAGGGCCUGCC
rnacentral:pre_miRNA from 1 species